CCCAAUUUCAUUCGACAAAACCCAGCACAGUAGAAAAGGAAAAAUCGAAAAACCAUUACCAAACAACGAAACCAGCUUCUUCGAUCUUGGGGUUCUUUGACUCCGAUUUCAAUCAUCAAAAUCUUCAACCAAUCUUCAAUCUUCAGGCCUGAGAAUGGGGUUCUUUGUUGCAUGGUAGUGGAUAGAGAUGGAGGGUUGAACCGUUGAUUUUGAAGAAGUGAGUUUUGGUCCUUUUGGCUUUGAAAUUGUUUGCUGUGAGAAUGGGGCUUCAAUGAAUUUGGUUGUGUUUUGUUUUUGUUGCAUGGGAGGGACUGUAGUACAUAGAGAUGGAGGCUUGAUAUUGAAGAAGUGGGUUUAGGGUUUGAGAUGUUCAUGUAAAAUCAAAUAGUUAGAAAUUUGGUUUUAUUUUCUACCUGCUACUUAAAUUAAAGCACUACCUUCAAUGUAUUUAUAAAUGUGGCUCCAACAACAUAUGCGAUGGAAAGCUGAAAAUGGAUCUGUUGUUGAUUUGUUUACCAACUUCAAUUGAACCUCACAUUUUGACUGAUCCAUAUUCCUUGCUUACAAAAGAUAAAAUAACAAGACGGAUUGAAAGUGGGGGUCAAUCUGUCGCUGCGGUUCUCUGUUGUGUUGGUAAGGAGUUUCCACCCCACGAAUCAAGAACUGAUUUCAUUGAAGAUAUUGUUGGCCUUGUAGCACUUAUUGGAAAAGCUUGGACCAUCAAGCUUAGAGACUGAUGGUGGCAUCAGGAUUCCUUCAGAAGAUGAAAGCACAUAAUCACCUCAUGGAAGUUUUACAAAGGUUUGGCUGGGUUAUUGACUGCAAAAUAUCUGGCAGGUGCAGGUCACCAACCUUUGUUACUAGAAGCAAGAGAUUGUCUAGGUGGAAAGGUUUAUGUUUUGCUUUAUCUUUACCCCUUUCCAAUUAGUUGACGCCAAACUAAAGAUAUAUAUGUAUACUUUUCUGUUGAUUUCUUAGUCUUUUGUUAACUUCUAGAAACUUACAAAAGCUUGCUAGUUAGUGAUUAGAAGAUAGGCCAUUUUUCAGCAUCGUUGAACAAUAGGCGAUUUUCAUAUGGAUGAUAAUCUGGAAGAAGUUUUUCAUUCUGGUUGAUAUUGUGGCAUGAGUACUUUCCUGUUGCUAGGAGCAAGGAUGGACACAAUUGCAUGAUAAUUUUUGUUUCCAUCUUGAUAUCCAUAUGUAAUGCAGGGUUUUAUCUUUUCAAUUUCUUUGUCAUUCAACGUUAAACUUUGGUCUUUUUCCUAUUAGGUAGCUGCCUGGAAAGGUGAUGAUGGGGACUGGUAUGAGACAGGCCUGCAUAUAUUUUGUGAUUUGAUAUAGUUUCUUUAUAUUACUUAAUUAUUUUUUUUUUAUUAUCAUUUUAGUUCGUGAUGCUACAACAUUAUUUUCUAUUAACCAUCAUUCCUAAGUUCUACUGCAUUUUUUACUCGGAUAAAUUAUGUAAUUUUUGAAACUAAUUCUUGUUUGCUGAUGUCUUUGAUGUUUGACUCAACAACUUUAUUAUUGUCUUCUAGUGAUUGUUCUUUUGAUGUUAUGAAUGUCUUAAUAAGUUCUAAUGCACUUUCACUUCAUAGUGAUGAUCUAGUGGGUAUCUUUUACCUUAUGCAGUUUUUUGAAUGUUGCAAUAACAAACUUUGAUGAAGUCACCUCUUUGUCUUUUCCUUUCUUAAAGUGGGGCUAAUCUUAUGCAUUUCCUUUUAAUUGAUAAAUAUUUUCUUUUCUUGUUGGCAAGUUGGGGCUUACCCAAAUAUACAGAACCUGUUCGAAGAACUUGGUAUCAAUGAUAUUUACAAUGCCAAACAAGCCAGGAGAAUUCGAUCGAUUUGAUUUUCCUGAAGUUCUGCCAGCUUCUGUAAAUGGGGGUACCUGAGCGUGUGACGACAAAGGUGUUUAUUGCCAUGUCAAAGGCACUAAAUUUUAUUAACCCUGGUGAAUUGUCAAUGCAAUGUAUAUUGAUUGCUAUAAAUCGGUUUCUUCAGUAGAAGCAUGGUUCCAAGAUGGAAUUCUUGGAUGGUAGUCCCCUAGAGAGACUUGCAUGUCGAUUGUUAAUCAUAUUCAAUCACUCGGUGCUGAAGUCCGACUAAAUUCUCAAAUACAGGAAAUUGAGCUUGAUAGUAAUGGAACUGUGAAGAAUUUCGUACUAACUAGCGGGGAAGUUAUUGAAGGAGAUGUUUAUGUAUUUGCCACUCUAGGUUCAACAGGAAACUGAAAAACACGUAUGAUUAUAUCUACUCUUCAGCAGGUCCUGCUCUUAGUUAAUGCUUAAUCCUCAGUUCCGUUUAGAGAGAUGGCGCUGUUUGUGCAAUAGUUCAUUAGCGAUUCAAUGCAAAUGUUUUAGUACAAAUGUGGUAAUUAUUUGUAUUAAGAGAAAGAGAGGGAAAUAAAAAAAUUAAUUAUUUUUUAUAAUUAAGUGUGAUUAGUGCUGUGAUUAAAGCGGCUGUUAUGGAUUAGUCGAUUCUUUGUAUCUUAUCCUUAAAUAUAGCUGUAAUGAGCAAAUGAUAAUCACAGCUCUAUUAUGUAAUUCAAAGAAUAUUUUGUGAGGCUGGCCCGAUAUUAGCCCAAAACAAA